UAAGGUUAAGAAAUUAAGCGUACACGGUGGAUGCCUAGGCAAUCAGAGGCGAAGAAGGACGUGUUAAUCUGCGAAAAGCGACGGUGAGCUGAUAAAAAGCGCAAUAGCCGUCGAUGUCCGAAUGGGGAAACCCAGUGUAGGUGACUACACUAUCAUAUGAUGAAUUCAUAGUCAUAUGAGGCGAACCGGGAGAACUGAAACAUCUAAGUACCCCGAGGAAAAGAAAUCAACCGAGAUUCCCUAAGUAGCGGCGAGCGAAAGGGGAGGAGCCCAAGCGGGUAGCAUAUAGUAUUAGUGGAAGCGUCUGGAAAGUCGCACGAUAGAGGGUGAAAGUCCCGUACACGAAGAUGCGAUAUGUGGAAGCUUAUAGAGUAGGGCGGGACACGUGAUAUCCUGUCUGAAGAAGGGGGGACCAUCCUCCAAGGCUAAAUACUCCUGAUUGACCGAUAGUGAACCAGUACCGUGAGGGAAAGGCGAAAAGAACCCCGGGAGGGGAGUGAAAUAGACCCUGAAACCGUGUACGUACAAUCAGUGGGAGCUGCUGCCGUUGGGUAGUGGUGACUGCGUACCUUUUGUAUAAUGGGUCAGCGACUUAUAUUCUGUAGCGAGGUUAACCGAAUAGGGGAGCCGAAGGGAAACCGAGUAUUAACUGUGCGUUAAGUUGCAGGGUAUAGACCCGAAACCCGGUGAUCUAGCCAUGGGCAGGUUGAAGGUUGGUUAACACUAACUGGAGGACCGAACCGACUAAUGUUGAAAAAUUAGCGGAUGACCUGUGGCUGGGGGUGAAAGGCCAAUCAAACCGGGAGAUAGCUGGUUCUCCCCGAAAGCUAUUUAGGUAGCGCCUCAUGAGUAACUGUUGGGGGUAGAGCACUGUUUCGGCUAGGGGGCCAUCCCGGCUUACCAACCCGAUGCAAACUCCGAAUACUGACAAGUUUAAUCAUGGGAGACACACGGCGGGUGCUAACGUUCGUCGUGAAGAGGGAAACAACCCAGACCGCCAGCUAAGGUCCCAAAGUCAUAGUUAAGUGGGAAACGAAGUGGGAAGGCUUAGACAGCUAGGAUGUUGGCUUAGAAGCAGCCAUCAUUUAAAGAAAGCGUAAUAGCUCACUAGUCGAGUCGGCCUGCGCGGAAGAUGUAACGGGGCUAAAACUAUGCACCGAAGCUGCGGCAGUGCACGCAAGUGUAUUGGGUAGGGGAGCGUUCUGUAAGCCGUAGAAGGUGUGUUGUGAGGCAUGCUGGAGGUAUCAGAAGUGCGAAUGCUGACAUAAGUAACGAUAAAGCGGGUGAAAAGCCCGCUCGCCGGAAGACCAAGGGUUCCUGUCCAACGUUAAUCGGGGCAGGGUGAGUCGACCCCUAAGGAGAGGCCGAAGGGCGUAUCUGAUGGGAAACGGGUUAAUAUUCCCGUACUGGCUAUAACUGCGAUGGGGGGACGAAGAAGGCUAGGUUUACCACCUAUUGGAUGGUGGGUUAAGCAUGUAGGCGUGUGAUUAGGCAAAUCCGGUCACUGAGACGCUGAGGUGUGAUGACGAGCUGCUAAGGCAGUGAAGUAAUUGAUGCCCUGCUUCCAGGAAAAUCCUCUAAGCUUCAGGUUAUAGUUAAUCGUACCCGAAACCGACACAGGUGGUCAGGUAGAGAAUACUCAGGCGCUUGAGAGAACUCGGGUGAAGGAACUAGGCAAAAUGGUGCCGUAACUUCGGGAGAAGGCACGCUGAUGGUAAUUGAAAUCCCGCGCGGACGUAGGUGAAAUCAGUCGAAGAUACCAGCUGGCUGCAACUGUUUAAUAAAAACACAGCACUGUGCAAACACGAAAGUGGACGUAUACGGUGUGACGCCUGCCCGGUGCUGGAAGGUUAAUUGAUGGGGUUAUGCGUAAGCAGAAGCUCUUGAUCGAAGCCCCAGUAAACGGCGGCCGUAACUAUAACGGUCCUAAGGUAGCGAAAUUCCUUGUCGGGUAAGUUCCGACCUGCACGAAUGGCGUAAUGAUGGCCAGGCUGUCUCCACCCGAGACUCAGUGAAAUUGAACUUGCCGUGAAGAUGCGGUGUACCCGUGGCAAGACGGAAAGACCCCGUGAACCUUUACUAUAGCUUGACAGUGAACAUUGAGCCUUAAUGUGUAGGAUAGGUGGGAG
rnacentral:rRNA from 1 species